CUAAGGAAUUGACGGGGCCCGCACAAGCGGAGGAGCAUGUGGUUUAAUUCGAUGAUACGCGAGGAACCUUACCUGGGCUCGAACGUAAGAUGACUGUAGGUGAAAGCUUACAUCUCUUCGGAGCAUUUUACGAGGUGCUGCAUGGUUGUCGUCAGCUCGUGCCGUGAGGUGUCGGGUUAAGUCCCAUAACGAGCGCAACCCCUACCUUUAGUUGCCAUCAGGUUAAGCUGGGGACUCUAAAGGAACUGCCUACGCAAGUAGUGAGGAAGGCGGGGAUGACGUCAAAUCAGCACGGCCCUUACGUCCAGGGCUACACACGUGCUACAAUGGCCGAUACAGAGGGCAGCUACCUGGUGACAGGAUGCAAAUCUCCAAAGUCGGUCUCAGUUCGGAUCGGAGUCUGCAACCCGACUCCGUGAAGUUGGAUUCGCUAGUAAUCGCGCAUCAGCCAUGGCGCGGUGAAUACGUUCCCGGGCCUU
rnacentral:rRNA from 1 species